rnacentral:rRNA from 2 species
AACGCUGGCGGCGUGCCUAAUACAUGCAAGUCGAACGAGUUCUCGUUGAUGAUCGGUGCUUGCACCGAGAUUCAACAUGGAACGAGUGGCGGACGGGUGAGUAACACGUGGGUAACCUGCCCUUAAGUGGGGGAUAACAUUUGGAAACAGAUGCUAAUACCGCAUAGAUCCAAGAACCGCAUGGUUCUUGGCUGAAAGAUGGCGUAAGCUAUCGCUUUUGGAUGGACCCGCGGCGUAUUAGCUAGUUGGUGAGGUAAUGGCUCACCAAGGCGAUGAUACGUAGCCGAACUGAGAGGUUGAUCGGCCACAUUGGGACUGAGACACGGCCCAAACUCCUACGGGAGGCAGCAGUAGGGAAUCUUCCACAAUGGACGCAAGUCUGAUGGAGCAACGCCGCGUGAGUGAAGAAGGCUUUCGGGUCGUAAAACUCUGUUGUUGGAGAAGAAUGGUCGGCAGAGUAACUGUUGUCGGCGUGACGGUAUCCAACCAGAAAGCCACGGCUAACUA